rnacentral:pre_miRNA from 15 species
AGUACAGGUGAAAUGGGUUGUGCCUGGCUCCCUGUAUGCCACACGUAUAGACCAAUCCUUGGAGUGAUUGGCUACUGUGGGUGGCGUGCAAGGAGCCAAGCAUGCCGCCUUCUCUCUCUCUC